UACGGGGGGGGCAAGCGUUGUUCGGAAUUACUGGGCGUAAAGCGCGUGUAGGCGGCUAUGCAAGUCGGAUGUGAAAGCCCUCGGCUCAACCGGGGAAGUGCACCCGAAACUGCAAAGCUAGAGUCUCGGAGAGGAUCGUGGAAUUCUCGGUGUAGAGGUGAAAUUCGUAGAUAUUCGCAAGAACACCAGUGGCGAAGGCGGCUCACUGGCCCGGUACUGACGCUGAGGUGCGAAAGCGUGGGGAGCAAACAGG
rnacentral:rRNA from 1 species